rnacentral:misc_RNA from 1 species
GGUGGAUCCAUAAGAUGCUGGCAAUUUCAACAACAUAAUAAAGAAAUUUUGUCAUCAUUCAGCCUAUAUACAUUGUGAGUGGUAUAAAACUCUCAAGUUCAAAGAAGCAUGAAAGGAAUUAACAAAAAUAGUUGGGUUACAGAAAAUAUGAAAACAACCAACACCACUGUGGGAAGAAACAGGGAAGGUAAAUUUAAAGGAAAACAAGCAAGACGUAAAAUACAAUGGUAUUCAAAUAUAUUUUGAAACAGAAAAAUUGAAACGCCUUGAAGUUAUUAAACAAGUGACGAGUAGUGUGUCAUUGCCCGCAAAUCAUAAUUGAGUUCAUCCAAUCCCAAAUUUUCUAUUCCAACCAACCAUUUCUCUUUUAUUCUCCGAAACCAAACAGAAAGAGCAGCACACAUUUCAUAAAUCAGCUAACUUAAAAAGUACAGCAACCUGCCAUAUCAGCAGCCAUCAAAAUUCCGUCCUUAUACUUCAAAGC